rnacentral:rRNA from 1 species
CCAAUAGCGUAUAUUAAAGUUGUUGCAGUUAAAAAGCUCGUAGUUGAAUUUCGGGGUUAGUAGGUUGGUCAUGCCUCUGGUAUGUACUGGUCUCACUGAUUCCUCCUUCCUGAUGAGCCGUAAUGCCAUUAAUUUGGUGUUGCGGGGAAUUUGGACUGUUACUUUGAAAAAAUUAGAGUGUUUAAAGCAAGCUAACGCUUGAAUACAUUAGCAUGGGAUAAUGAAAUAGGACGUUCGAUCCUAUUUUGUUGGUUUCUAGGAUUGACGUAAUGAUUAAUAGGGAUAGUUGGGGGCAUUAGUAUUCAAUUGUCAGAGGUGAAAUUCUUGGAUUUAUUGAAGACUAACUACUGCGAAAGCAUUUGCCAAGGAUGUUUUCAUUAAUCAAGAACGAAAGUUAGGGGAUCGAAGACGAUCAGAUACCGUCGUAGUCUUAACCAUAAACUAUGCCGACUAGGGAUCGGAUGAUGUUAAUUUUUUAAUGACUCAUUCGGCGCCUUACG